CCGCUGGUAUACACCACCGCUUCACGAACUGGGUCCCAUACGGUUGAGAAAGCGUUUUUAAAGUAAACCUGUCUCCGGUUCGAACCGUCCGAGUUCACCACAUAAACACCCGGGAACUCGACGAACGCGAUUCGGUCACCAUUAGGCGAGAAAGACGGAAACGAACCGUCGAAUCUAAACAGUGAGAUGUCGGGCAGUGGACUUUUGAUAUUCUCGAGUAACAGUUGGGUGUUUCCAUCUUCUCUUGUACUCCCACCUCUACACUUGUGGUACCCAACUCGGGAUGAGUCAGGCGAGAUGAACGGGUUCAGGUGGUGAGUUUUGGGCGACACGAAACGAGUCAACUCAAUAAACUUGUUUUUGACCAGGUCAAAUAGCUCAAUAUGGCGAUAACUCGAGGUGGGUCUUCGAGUCGCCACUGCUAUGAAUUUAUUAUUACCUGGUGAAGUGGCUGGAGUGAACGCGUGGAGUCCAGGUGGUGUGACUCGUUGAAUCGACACUGACUCGGUCGAAACCAGUCCAGUUUUGGGCAGAAUCACUUUGUACACACUGAUCCAGUCAUCUUCUUCGCUUUUUCUGUGGAAAAACAGUGUUGACUCGUCGACCCAACACGGCCAUCCGCCGUUUUCAACUAUCUUGACCCGCUGAGUCCCAUCCCGAGUCAGGAAAAUAUAAAUAUCAGUACUCAGCAUCUCCACUUCGCCAUCCCAGCCUUUAUUUCCAUAUGAAGCCACAGCAGUGUACUUCCCAGAAGGAGAAACCGCAGGGCUGAAAUCGGCAACUCCAUAUGGGGUCAGCCU
rnacentral:lncRNA from 1 species